rnacentral:rRNA from 1 species
AACGAACGCUGGCGGCAGGCUUGACACAUGCAAGUCGAGCGCCCCGCAAGGGGAGCGGCAGACGGGUGAGUAACGCGUGGGAAUCUACCCAUCCCUACGGAAUAACGCAUGGAAACGUGUGCUAAUACCGUAUACGUCCUUCGGGAGAAAGAUUUAUCGGAGAUGGAUGAGCCCGCGUUGGAUUAGCUAGUUGGUGGGGUAAAGGCCUACCAAGGCGACGAUCCAUAGCUGGUCUGAGAGGAUGAUCAGCCACACUGGGACUGAGACACGGCCCAGACUCCUACGGGAGGCAGCAGUGGGGAAUAUUGGACAAUGGGCGCAAGCCUGAUCCAGCCAUGCCGCGUGAGUGAUGAAGGCCCUAGGGUUGUAAAGCUCUUUCACCGGUGAAGAUAAUGACGGUAACCGGAGAAGAAGCCCCGGCUAACUUCGUGCCAGCCGCCGCGGUAAAAC